CAAUCGUUCUACGAGCUGAACAUUGGUCUGGAUAAAGAAGGAUAAUGGAACACUUUGGAGAUUGUGCUAUUACGUGCGAGCAGCUGAAAAUGAUAAACGACUUUCAUUAGCGGAACUGCAGCAAGGAAAGGUCGUGGUGAUAAACUAAGAUAAUGGAAUUUAGCAAUAUUUUUCUUACAAGAAGCUAGACGAAGGCUGGUUAGGCAAUGCAGAUAAAGUUUCUGCACCGGAGUUUGCAAAGGUACUGAUGGAAAGAAAGGUGGU